AGUAGUGCAAUUGCUGGGUUGUAGGGUAGUUCUAUUUUUAACUUUUUGACUGUUCUCAGCGUGGUUGCACCAGCUUGUGUUCCCACUGACAGUGUAAGAGGGUUCCCCUUUCUCCACAUCGAGGAUAUCUCUUUAUGCCCCAAAUAGAUAGAAACGCCUAGUAGAGAGCUUUAGAAAUCACCUCAGCCCUUCCUGGCCAAGGUCAUAGCCUGUUGGGAUAGACUCCAUUCCCAGGAGUCAUUUCUGGUUUUGGGGUGUCCUUCUGCCAAGGCUGGCUGUGCCUGAACGGAGCACAUGAAGCCAGCAGACAUUACGUCAACUUCGCGUGUUCCUCAGCAGAGCUUGCUGUGCACAAACCCAAGCCAGAGUUCCUUUGUUGAAAGUGACCUUCCUAGAGCCUGAACUGUCAACUGUACCUUCAUACCAGAGACUUUGCAGUAGAAGCUGCUGGGAGGGCUGGGAGACGGAGGGAGAAGGAAACCCCACCAAAUCCAGAAGGGGUUACAACAUGCCUGGACACUCUAGGAAGAACCAGAAUAAAAGCAGGAGUUGAAAGCGAAGCAUUUACCAACAAGAAGUAACCCAAGUGAAAUGCCCCUCAUGGUUCUCCGGGUUCUCCGGCCUUCAGACUCAGACCAGAACGGGACCACUGGUUUUCGUGGGACUCCAGCUAAAAUCAGGAAUCCACCCCUGGAAUCGCAGAUCGUGUGACAGCAAAGGCCAGCAAAGGCCAGCAAACGCCCAUGAUUGGAGCUGUGGAGGCGCUGGCAGGUGCUGUGGGCACUCCUGCCCCUGCAUUCUCUGGCACUUUCUCCUAGAAGUGCACAAGACGUGGGUGAUGUUUACCGUUCAUAGAGUCCUUCAGGUAAGGGAUGGUGAUUUCUUUUUGUAUCUAACCAUCGAGAGACGAGAGACGGCAUUCCAAGGGACAGCAUUGUGAACGAGCAGCAUUGGCCUUCCUUGAUUGAAAUGCAGUGACUGUAAACCCAGAUGCUUCAGGGACCAAGCUAGCGAUGAAAUGAGCAACGAGGAUUAUGCAAAAUAAUACCGAGUGAGGAGAACUGUAGAAAACCCCAGCACGUUGCCCCAUCUAGAGAGAGCAGCAGAGACUCGGCUCGGGUAAGUGUUGCCAUAAUGAAUCUUGGCCCAGUAGUACCAGUUUCCAGUUUUGAGAGGCUAAAGAUGUCUAUGGUCCACACGAUCAUCUGAUUUUUUUAAAGGUUGGCACUUAAGUCCAUUUUUAAGAUCACGACCAGAUUCUGAAGGCUCUCGAUGUCACUUCCUGUGUGGAUUAGCUUGGACUUUUGUCCAUAGACCGUGCUCAGGGAGCCUCUGUGCUGAAGCCGGGCCGUAGCCCUGAUUCUGAGAACCUACCCUGGCAGGCCUGACGCUCGGGGCUUUCGGAGAGAGUGGGUGCUGGUCCUGUUUGCUCAGGCCGGUUACAGAUCGGUCAUCUGCGCAUUGUAGACAUAGAGCUACAGAUGCUGGGGUUUACAGGAUGGUUAUUAAGACGCCCUCAGCAAUAAAGAACACUGAGCCUGAGGGGUUCUGCGUCCU
ensembl:lncRNA